UUUUUUUUUUUUUGGUUGGAGUAGUUAGUCAUUAGUACAGAAGUGUUUGGUCACGAGCAGGAAAGAAUGAAAAUGUAAAAUUCAGUGGGCUUCAUUUCCAUGGUUGUGGUGUGAAAUUUGUGGGGGAGAUUCCGGAGUGAGGUAUGCCCCAGGUACUCACCUGAAAAAGGGUUCCAGGUACAUGGUGUGUCCGCAGCAUCCCUGGCCCCAUCCUUUCUGUCCUGGAAUUCUGUGUUUGUGGAUAUAUUAGUCAGGACAGGCUAGUUUAGUUUAUGCUACAGCAACAAGUGGCUCCCAAAUCUUAGUGACUUAGAGACUGACAGAUCUUCUCCACCACAUCCUUUGCCGAUUGGCUGUUGCUCUGCUUCCAGUCAUCCUGCUGGAGCAGUCUCUCCCUGGAACACUUGGUCACUGUGGCAGAAGGAAAGGAAAAAUGGUGAACCACUUCCUGGCUCGAAAAGCUUCUGUGUGGAAGUGACACACAUCUCUUCUGUCUACAUUUCAGAAGGGAUGGGGCCAGGGAUGCUGAGGACACACCAUGUACCCUUUUUCAGGAUGGAGCUUCCAGGAUAGAGCUUCUUUUUUCCUCAUGGCCUUGACCACCUAGAAUGCCACUAGAAUGGAGGCCAUAUCCAGUAACAGAGUCUACUGCAUCAUAUUAACUGAUAAACCCAGGAUGACAAGAGAAACAUGGGACUCACUCUUCAUUUGCAUUGACUCCAGCUAAGAGCUUCAGUUUUCAUGCUUUGCUUCAGAAUUAUUGUGGUCUGAUGCAGAACUGAAAAGGCCAACACGAGAAUCUUCAAGUACAAUUGCCUGGGAAUCCUGAGGUCUGGACAGCAACACCUGAAUCUGAAUCUCUUUUGGGUUGAAUCAUAAAAGAAAAUAGUAUGGAGAGAUUUAAGGCCAGGCCUCUGGAGAAGGAAUUGAUAAAAUAUGUGGUAGUACCUGCGCUACAGAACAGAAUUCACUUGGAAGUUCUUGGCAUAUAAUGAGUAAAUUGAAGCCCAGAAAGGCCAAGAAACUUGAACCAUUUAGGUGAAGAAGAGUGCUCACCAGAUUCCCUUCUGGUCUGGAAAAAGAAAUCCCUUCUUUUGUGGAUGUCAUCUCUACCAUCUCUCGGUGAAAAAUAUUUCAAGAGAAUCCUAAGAUGGAGAGAGCAUUGGAAGUCAUCCGGCCCAAUUCCCUUGUGCAAUUCAAAGCUUCUUUGUAAGAAAAAUGCCCCCAGAAGUUUGUUUGCAUCAUGAAGAUCAGAUUUUGAGGAUCCAGUCUGGCUCUUCCCUGUACAAAACAUUCCUCACAAACAGAAUAUGGACAAUUGUUAAAUGUCAAAGGUAAAGUUAUUGUGGGAACUCCUUCAAAAAGUUCAAGUGAGAGCCCAUUCUAUGAAUGACCAUUUACAUCUAAUUUUUUUCUGUGCUAUGUUACUUAUUCUGAAGUGGUUGAUCCAAUUCCUAAAAGGGAAUAUUUCAUUACCUUUUAUUUCCUAUAGCAUCCAUUCUGACCCCUUUUCGGUUUAAUUAUUCCCUGAUUCCAGUCUUCAUUCACUCAUUUAUUUGAGGAAUAUUUAUUGACCAACAACUAUGCCAGGUCCCAUUCUAUGUGUAGGGACUAUAAAGUUGAACAAGACAGAGGAGGUACUGGCCUCAGAAUUUACAUUCUAGUAGAUGAGAAAGUAAAAAUAAACACAUGAAAACAUGAAUGAACCGGAUAUUGUAGACUGUGAUAGGUGUAGUUUGGGUAAAGCACAGAGUGCAGUAGUAAAGAUAAACUGCACUCAGAGUGGGGCUAUUUUAGAUGGAAUGGAGAUCUCUGAGGAAAUGAAAUUUGAGCUGAGACCUAAAAGGUCACCCAAGGACUCAUGGGAAAACUCAGUUGUUUCUAUCAAAAUUUAGCUUCAUGAACUCCAGGCCCUUGCAAAUGAUGGUUACCAGGUGAGAAAUGUCUCACUGGCAACAGAGGUUGGCAGACCCAGCUCCAGUUCCAUCCCAGCCAACAUACCAAUGUCAUUAAAAUAAGGCCAUUCAUCAAGGUGGAGACUAUUACUAGAAACAAGCAUUCUAAAGUGCCAUUUGAGUGCCAGGCUCUCAACACUGGGCGUAGCACUGCUCCAUGAGGCUUUUGAGAGCAUAUACUGAGGCAUGACCAAAAAAAUUAAGUCCCAUGUAAGUGAUGCAACUGCUCCCCAAUUACUGUGGAAGUAUCUGCAGACUAACUAUUGUGCGUGUGUGUUUGUUUGCUUUAAUGAAUAAAUUCAGUCAACCAACCAUCUAGCUAUUGACUAAAUCCAUUCUUUUUCUUCCAAAAUGUCUAUUGGCUGAAGUUUACUGGUUUUUAUUUCUAUUCGCAUACGUAAUUUUCUAAACCCCAUUCUUAUGGAACCUUCUCUAAGUUCCUCUCUAUGGCCCUGUCCAUGUUCAUACGGAUACACAUAAAGACACAAAUACACCAAACUAAGUUUAGAGCAGUCUGGUGCCUGCCUAAGACUUCAGCCUCAUCUCCUGCUUCUACCCUCUUUAGUUUAGGAAAAACAGGUAACGUUGCUGAGUGCCAAGUAUUGUGUUAGUAGCUUUGCAUGCAUUUUUUCAUUUUAUCUUCACAAGUUUCUUCUAUCACCAUGAUCUGUAUGUUUGACCAUGGUGUUUCCUCCACCUGAAAUUCCCUUGGUGCUCUGCCUGGGGAACUGUUACUCAUUCUUCAAAUCUCAACGGAAUGAUCUCCUCCUCUGGAAAGCUCUCCCUACUUCCCUAGGAAGAAGUAAUCCCUUCCUCAGUUCUGCUUUGAUUAUAACUUUAUAAGCACCUAUCACUCUGCAUGGUAUUAGUUCACUGUCAUGUCCAUUUCCUCUAUUGGGAUGUAAAUUGCUUAUGGGUAAUAAUUAGGCUUUGAAUCAUUUUAUGAUCUGGCCUAAGACAGUGCUUGGCACAUACUAUAGGCUCAUCAGAUGAUGGCUGAGUAGAAUUAAAUUGAAUCAAGUUGAAGUUAUACUUUGAUGUUUAUCAAUUAACAUGUGUAGUGUGUUAAAUGGUGGUCACUGAAAACAUACGUCUGCACCCUAAUUCCUGGAACCUGUGAAUAUAACCUUACAUGUUAAGAAGAAAUAUGACCUUAAAUGGAUAUGGAGACAAGGAGCUUAUCCUGGAUUGUCUGAGAGGGCCCUAGAUGCAAUCGCAUGUAUUCUGAUAAGUGGAGAGAAACAGAAGAGGAGGAUGCAAUGUGACCAUGUAGGCAGAAGUUUGAAUGGUGCAGCCACAAGCCAAGGAGCCCCUGGGGCCAUCAGAAGCUGGAAGAAGCAAGGAAUGGAUUCCUUCCUAGUGUUUGGAAGGAGUGUGCACUUGCCAACACCUUGGUUUGAGACUUCUGGCCUCUGGAACUGUGACAGAAUAAAUAUCUGUUGUUUUGAGCCACCCAAUUGUUGCUAAUUUGUUAAAGCAACCUUAGAAAAUUAAUAUAGCAUCCACAAUAAAAUUUCUCAAAAUAUAUGUUCCUGUGAAAUGGAAGAGUUCUAGGGAUCUAGUAGCAUAUACGGAACCCAGAUAAGUUAUACAAGUUUUUCCCUGAAAGUCUUUUCAGAUUCUUUAGCGGGCUAAGGUGCAUUGUGAAUCCCAAAAACUUUAGCGUUUUUCAGCAUCUAUUAUCACAUAAUCCUUUCCCCACCCAUGGAAUUAUAUACUAAACUGUUUUUGUAGAUGUUGAUGUUCUGUAGAACAGAGUUUUGGGGUCUGUAUGACUUAAGAUCCUUCUACAAUGGAACACAGUGAGGAGGGUAUUCAGAGGAGUCAUAGAGGGCAUUGAUCUUGCAAUAUAUACUCAGGAAAUUACCAUGGGCAGAAUAAAAUGCUUUUGAAAAUAUUUAAUGUUUGCUUGGCAUUGUUUCUCUUGGGUUUAGCUUUGCAAAAUUUUCCUCAGGUAUCAUUUUUCUUGUUGCCAUGGAGCCAAUUCACUUCCCAAGGCAAGUUGGUGAUUGGCCUAAGGGAAACUAUUGAGAAAAAAUGGACAGCUCAAGAUGUGGUUUGAAACAUUGAUGUUCUUUCUUGGUGCACUUAACUCUUCUCUCUGCUAUUAUUUUUCUUCUUCACUCUCCUGGAAUCUCCCUCUUUCCCAGUGUAAGUGAGAGUCUAAUAGCUCAUGAUGCAGCUUGGUUUGUUGUGUAUUGAAGUGACCGUAGCUGCAUUUGUUUUGGCAAACCCAUCAUCAUUUGUCUGAGGCAUAACAAUGGCCUCUUUAUUGAUGGUUUAAUCCAGUUCCUGAGGCUGGAUUAAAUAAAUGAGACAAUUGAACCUCAGAUAGGUAAGUGACUUGGCCUUGGUCACCUAGCAAGGCACUGCUAGCCAGACACACAAUCUCACUUAGUAAUUUCUGUCUAGUGCCUCCUACUAGACAGGCCAAGGCCCAGGGCACUGCACUCUGCAUGGGGUGGAAGUAGGGUGUAGCAUUGGAAUGGAGGUAGUGGUAGAAUGCAGUACUUAAAGCCAAGGAGAGAACACUAAAGAAUCCAUAGCCCCAGGAGAAGUAAAGUCAAAGGGAACCAAAAUCCAAAGGCAGUAAUCACCGAGAGGGACUCAGGAGUGAGAGAAAAUUCAUGGACAAGUGGCAGGUCAGAAGCCAGGGAAGUCAGGGCUGCCAGAAAUUUGCAAGCAGCAGGCAGGACCCCUAGUCUUUAUACAACCCUGGUCUUUCUGUAAAAGGCUGGAAAAAAACAGCUUUUUCAAACAUGCUAUAUUCAAAUGUGCCAUAAUUGUUCUGUUUUGAGAAACCAGAAUGGUCUGGCUUUUGUGCAGAAAUAAGGAGAAUAUCAUCCUUUGCUGCUCAAUGAUAAAUGUAUUGCCUGAACCUGAGCCUGGAAGACACUGCCCUACAUGUGCCCAAUGUCUCACAAUGCUUCCUUUGGGCAGUUUAGUUUGGUGUGUGACCUCUGACCUCAAAGUAUCUGAAUAGAAAACAUAACCACACUAGUUCACGCUACCUAUUCCUCUUUCCUCCAAGCAAGUACACUGAAAAUGCUAAGUCCAAACUGUGAAAGAUCUGAGAUAUUACUGUAUUUGCAAGCUACAAAGUUAGCCCUCCACAAUAUGUAUAUAUGCUUAUGUAUAUAUAUUUAUGUGUGUGUGUGCAUGCACACAUGUGUGAGGUGUGUAAUAUAUAUAUAACUUUAUAUCUGACCAAGUUUUGCAUGCCACGUUCUCACAAAGCAACACAAUGAGGGCUUGAUGUCACUGCAUGUGCAGUGGCGUUGGCUCUACAGGAGAAGAGGAACCCUGAAGUUAUAAAGUUUGGAAGUUUAUGGGACAUCCAUCCAUGUUUUCUUCUGGAAAGAGGAAGAAAUAAAUACUUUACUCUUGAAUGGAAAAAAAAAUAUUUUUGUGGAGAAGAGGGGAGGGUUUUUAUUUUGCCACCCUAGACUGUAAACAAACGGUUUCAGGGACAGAAAAAUCCUGAGGUCUCUAUCUUUAGGUUUCAUACUAUGGUCCAAAUAUGUGUGUAUCCUCAAAAUUCAUGCGCUGAAAUCCUAAUCCUAAAGUGACAGUAUUAGAAAGUGGGGCCUUUGGGAGGUGAUUAGAGGAUGAAGGUGGAGGCCUCAUGAAUGGGAUUAGAGUCUUUAUAAAAGGACCUGAAGGAGCUUUUUUACCCUGCCACCAUGUGAGGACACAGUGAGAAGGCACCAUCUAUGAACCAGAAAGCAGAUGCCCUAACCAGACACUGAAUAUGCUGGCGCCUUGAUCUUGGACUCAGCACACAGAACUGUGAGAAAUAAAUUUCUAUUGUUUGUAAGCUACCCAGUCUAUGGUACUUUCUUAUAGCAUCCCAAAUGGACUAAAACAUUUGAUAUUCAGUCAAAUGUUCUUUGUUCAGUGUUGUUUGUUCAUAAAGCUCUGACCAUGAGGAAACAUGAAAAUAUUUGUGGAGCACUGUCUCCCAAUACCAAAACUCAUCGUUUCUCUCUUAAAAAUAAAGGCAUUUCCAGAACAUCAAUAGAUGCUGGGGUAAGUAAAGGAAGGAGAGAAAAAGAAUGAAAAAGGAAUGAAGCUAUUGUACAUAUGAGCAGUGCCUGGGUUCUAGUUAAAUGAGCCUAAAAUGCCUGUUGCUAUCAUGAUAAGUUACACACAUGUCAAUGUGAACUCUCACUAACCAAGGAGAAAACUGAGAUAACUCUUAUUUUCCUCUCUCCCCUCCCCUCCCCUCCCCUCUCCCUCCCUCCCUUCCUUCCUUCUUUCCUUCCUUUUCUCUUUGUUCUUUCUUUCUUUUGAUUUCUUUCUUUUUCUUUCUUUCUUCUUGCUUCUCUAUUUCUUCCUUUCUUUUUCUUUCUUUCUUCUUUCCUUCUCUCUCUAUUUCUUCCUUCUUUCUGCAUCAGAUGGUUAACAAAAUAGACACAGUCUUGGAGCAAGUCUAGAGUGGCACA
rnacentral:lncRNA from 10 species